AAACACAGAAACACACGCACAAAUACACUGAACUUUAAUGGUGAUCUUUAUUCAAAUUACAGUUUCUGUGCACACCUGUAAUCCCAGCUACUCCAGAAGUUGAUGGGAGCAUCCCUUGAGCCCAGGAGUUCAAGUCCAGCCUGGGCAACAUAGUGAAAUCCCACCUCUCAAUCUUUUAAAAAAUUAAAUUACAACUUCCCAUAUUAUAAAAAAGUACUGCAGCUCCAAGCUUGAAUGGAAAUUCAUUAGAUUUUUAUAAAUUUGAAGGAAGUUUAUUUCUGAAAAUAAAUUUUGUUGAAUUUCUUCUUAAGGUGGAAAUUUGUUUUUCAUUCCUUUUCUUUGCAUGUGAGUUUUGUAUCAGUUGUGGAACUCUAUAGCUCCACUACAUAUUUGGGUAUUUGAAUAUUUGAAUCUGUUGUGCUUUUUCCAGGAAAUUCUGAAUUUUAGGAUAGUCUACAGGUACCAUAAAUUGAGAAGUCCAAACAAUUCAUUAUCUUCCUUGAAGCCCAAACCUGCCAUUUUUCUCAGAUAGGAAAGCCACCAAACAUAGGGAGCAUGCCUGCCACUUCCCUCUGGCCCGUCUCUGGCUCAUCCGCCACAGAGACCUAUUUAUUACAUCCCCUGAGUAUUCUUCUAAUUCCCCCUCCUUUCCAUCCCCACUCUUUCAGCCACACUUCAGGACCAUGGUCUGUGCAUCGCUUAGUCUCAUCCUAAUUUAUCCGCAGCUCCACCCACUCCAACCUCCUCUCCCCUCUCUAAGACAACCUUUACUUCCCCACCUAUGCCUGUUCCAAUUUACUGUCUCUGAACCCCACAUAUGCCCUUUUCUGCCCUACAUUAUGAUAACUGGAGCUGGACCUAAUUUCUUUCGUUAGCGGGCACAAUGUUAGACCUUGUCAGUAGAGGGCGCUAGAGGGACACUGCACAAGGAAGGGGCUUCUCUUCUGGUUCCAGCUCUGUUCUUAGAAAACAAUGAGCUGUCUCCUUGCCAACCAGCAGCUCCCUUGGUAGGGGCAUGCAGAAGACCUGAUGACACAAACCCUCCAAAGAGUUUCACCCUCACCACAACAGGUGGCUUCCUGCUCGGCAGCCCAUCCUGCAUCACUUCAGUGGACUUCUCUGACAUCUACUAGACCACAUUAAAUGAAUCACAGCCUUGAAACUGAACUGGAAGGACUUCCUUCAAGGUUAUACUUUCUUUGAAUACUGUCUUUCAGCCCUAUGCCUAGUGACUGCUCCCUGCGUCUUACCCCAGUUUUCUUGAGAAUUCCCUUUAUACUUCUUAGUAGAUAAUACCCUUUAAUUAGUUCCUUAUUUUUAUGUGGUAUUAAGUUUUCCCUGUCCAAACUAUUAGUCAUGUCUCACUUAAUGAUGGGGAUAUGUUCUGAGAAAUGUGUUGUUAGGCAAUUUCAUCAUUGUGUGAACAUCAUGGCAUGUACUUACACAAACCUAGAUGAUAGUAUAGCCUAUUACAACCCUAGGCCAUAUGGCAUAGUCUAUUGCUUCUAGGCUACAAACCUGUACAGAAUGUUACUGUACUGAAUGUGGUAGGUAAUUGUAACACAAUGGUAUUUGUAUAUACAAACAUACCUAAACAUAGAAAAGGUACAGUAAAAACAGUGUUGUAAUCUAUGGGACCACCAUCAUAUAGGCAGUCUGUGUUGGACAGAAAUGUCAUUAUGCGGCUCAUGACUAUACUAUUGUGAUUUCUGUCUCCUGACCAAACCCUGACUGCUUUACCACUUUUGUUCUUUCUUUAUUUUCUUUCUUUUUUUUUCUUUUUUACAAGGUCUCACGAGCCAGCAUAUGAACUUGCUGCCUAUCUUUAGCAAGGAGAUGCAAAUGACAUCCACAAACCUCUUCUGCUGUAUACCUGGAUGAAAGCAAGGCUAGCUGUGUGUCCUGUGAGUAAGAAGGAAAGAUGCUUACCUUAGAUCCACCCAUAAUCUUCCCCUACUCCUACACCUCCAGUUGAGAAAGCUGUACUCAUUCUGAACAUCAGCUCAUCCUAGGGGAAUCACAGCUUUCUCCACAGAUACAGAACAAGGUGAAGAGCCCUAGGCUGUUCUAUUCCCUGGACCAAAGAUGAAACUGGGGUGAGGUACCUCUGGGUCACUGUUAAGAAGUAAAAUGUAGAGGCUCUUCAUUGCAGUAGUAUCUUAAGAAUUCCAAAAUCAGGCUACCACCUCUAAACCAGGCAAGAGGACAAUGAGACAAAGUGAUAAGCCUGAAGGGUUAGGAACCAUGAGGAGCUUAUGUCAGGGAGAUUCUGAGAGAAGGAAGGGAGGAGAGACCCAAAGAAACUUCAUGGAGCUAAUGAACAAGCACCCACAGAGGAUUUAUAUACAAUAUCUGCAACCAAGAGAGGGGUAUGCUAAUUUAGAGGAAACCAGAAGGUAGCCAACACCUUCAUUUCACAGCUGGCAGAAGGAAGAAAAAAAUGCUUACUUAAUUGUUGCUAAGAAUUGGUCUCUGCAGAAACGCUUCAGAGCAGAACACCCAGAAACACACUGCCAUGCUUGUUCAUAAUGUAUGAUAGCUGCCACCACUCACCCCCAAAACCACGCUUUCCAAGCUACGCAGAUCCACUGAGAUCCACACUUUAUAUGUCCUCACAACAAUCCCACACCCAGUGUGUUCGGGAUGAGGGCCAGGAGAAAAGCAUCCCAUUUUUCACCCAAAAAGGAGGCAUGAAAUUAAAUGUAACUCCAAGAGAUUUUGUGAGCACAUAUUAUUUGGGGACACAAACAUGAGAAAGACAUGGCCUUCUCUUCCUGAAAGAGUUCAUAGAGUCCAAAGUAAAAGACAAAUUGAUUUUAAAAAGUAAUUGCAAAACAAUUCAGGCCCUCAUGCAUGCAUGCAUUUAACAAACAUGCCCUGGUCACAGUUUGGAAGUAAAAGUAUAUGCAAAGUGGUAUAUGAGUACAGAGAUGCUACCACUUUACCAAGAACACAAAACAAAUAGGAAGAAACCUGACCAUUUAAGAUAAGAAAGGAUUCUAAUGAGUGUUUGCCCACUGUCCUUAGAAAGUCCUUAUAUCAAGGUAAAAAGAAGAGAAGUGACAUUUACUCAGCACUUUCCUCAUACAAUCUCUGGAAGGUCCAUGAAGACUGUGAGCUCUUUGAGGGCAAGAACCAUGUCCUACUUACCCCAGGAUCCCUGCCCUUCAUCAGUACCUGGUACAUAAUAGUUAAUAAAUAUGUUUUAGACUGAACUGACCUGAGGAUUUUCUAAGUCUUGUUUUUCUAACUUUAUAGAUGGCACCAAGGACUGAAAGAUUGUAAGAAGUAAGAGUAAGUAAAUUUUUAGCUGCUAUAUUCCCUAAUAGCUAGACUUUAAAAGUAUUUUUAACUCUUUUCCUCUAUUCUUGCUAGGUGAACAAGGCUAAAACCUGGGUUUAGUUUUCAUUUUAUAAAUUAUUCUUUAAAAAUAAAUUAUUUCAACUGUCUUGAAGAGUCUGUAAAACAAGGUCUGUGAAGUCACAGAGGGAAAAAGAAUCAGAAAUCAGUAGACAGCAGUUAGACCACGGGUGUUUGUUAUACAUUCGUUCUAGACAUUCAUCAAAAGCUCAGAAAGGGAAAGUCAAGCGUGCCAAAUCAAUAAAGUUUCUAUCGUAUUUCAUCUCUUUGGAUUUGCAGAAUGCUUUGGUAAUUCUGUUUCUCAAGCCUGCACAUCACGAGCAAACAAGUAUGCUUAUGGGUGUCUUAGCCCAGUAGGCUGUUUAUCAGAAAGCUACCAGUCCCCUGUGAGAAGCUGGCUUUCCUCCAAAAUGUAGAAGGUGUUUAAGGGGACAUAUUUCUUUGGUACACCCUAAAGCAAGCUUGUCCAAUGUGCAGCCUGCAGGCCGCAUGUGGCUCAGGACAGCUUUGAAUGUAGCCCAACAUAAAUUCAUAAACUUUCUUAAAACAUUGUGAUUUUUUUGU
rnacentral:lncRNA from 1 species